rnacentral:rRNA from 1 species
CGGCCGCGGGAAUUCGACUGGGGAUUCUUCCGCAAUGGGCGAAGGCCUGACGGAGCAAUACCGCGUGAGGGAUGACGGCCUUGGGGUUGUAAACCUCUUUUAUCAAGGAGGAAGUUCUGACGUGUACUUGAUGAAUAAGCAUCGGCUAACUCCGUGCCAGCAGCCGCGGUAAGACGGAGGAUGCAAGUGUUGUCCGGAAUCACUGGGCGUAAAGCGUCUGUAGGUGGUUUAAAAAGUCUGCUGUUAAAAGUUGAAGCUUAACUUCAAAGAUGCCGUAGAAACUUUUAAACUUGAGGAUGGUAGGGGUAGAGGGAAUUUCCAGUGGAGCGGUGAAAUGCGUAGAUCCUGGAAAGACCACCAAUGGCGAAGGCACUCUACUGGGCCAUUACUGACACUGAGAGACGAAAGCUAGGGGAGCAAAUGGGAUUAGAUACCCCAGUAGUC